rnacentral:rRNA from 1 species
GGAUGGGUAGGGGAGCGUCGUGUAGCGGUUGAAGCGGCGGAGUAAUCCAGCCGUGGACGCUAUGCGAGUGAGAAUGCAGGCAUGAGUAGCGAAAGACGAGUGAGAAACUCGUCCGCCGGAUGACCAAGGGUUCCUGGGCCAGGCUAAUCCGCCCAGGGUAAGUCGGGACCUAAGGCGAGGCCGACAGGCGUAGUCGAUGGACAACGGGUUGAUAUUCCCGUACCCGUGUGAACGCGCCCAUGAUGAACCUUGUGAUACUAACCGCCCGAAGCACCAGUGAAGACCCUUCGGGGUUGAUCUGACUGUGGAGCGCGGGACCUGAACUUGUAGUAGUCAAGCGAUGGGGUGACGCAGGAGGGUAGCUCCGCCAGUGAGUGGUAGUACUGGUGCAAGCGUGUAGGGAGUCUGGUAGGCAAAUCCGCCAGGCAUAUAUCCUGAGACGUGAUGCGUAGCCGAUUGAGGCGAAGUAGAGUGAUCCCAUGCUGCCGAGAAAAGCCUCUAGCGAGCUUUCACGCGGCCCGUACCCCAAACCGACACAGGUGGUCAGGUAGAGAAUACCGAGGCGAUCGGGCGAACUGUGGUUAAGGAACUCGGCAAAAUGCCCCCGUAACUUCGGGAGAAGGGGGGCCGUAGCGCUUGAAGCCUCUUGCGGGCUAGGGCGAGACGGCCGCAGAGACCAGCGAGAAGCGACUGUUUACUAAAAACACAGGUCCAUGCGAAGUCGCAAGACGAUGUAUAUGGACUGACGCCUGCCCGGUGCUGGAACGUUAAGGGGACCGGUUAGUCCUUCGGGGCGAAGCUGAGAACUUAAGCGCCAGUAAACGGCGGUGGUAACUAUAACCAUCCUAAGGUAGCGAAAUUCCUUGUCGGGUAAGUUCCGACCUGCACGAAUGGCGUAACGACUUCUCGACUGUCUCAACCGCAGGCCCGGCGAAAUUGCAUUACGAGUAAAGAUGCUCGUUACGCGCGGCAGGACGGAAAGACCCCGGGACCUUUACUAUAGCUUGGUAUUGGUGUUCGAUUCGGCUUGUGUAGGAUAGGUGGGAGACUGUGAAGCGGCCACGCCAGUGGUUGUGGAGUCAUCGUUGAAAUACCACUCUGGUCGUAUUGGAUGUCUAACCUCGGUCCGUGAUCCGGAUCAGGGACAGUGCCUGGUGGGUAGUUUAACUGGGGCGGUUGCCUCCCAAAGAGUAACGGAGGCGCUCAAAGGUUCCCUCAGCCUGGUUGGCAAUCAGGUGUUGAGUGCAAGUGCACAAGGGAGCUUGACUGUGAGACUGACGGGUCGAGCAGGGACGAAAGUCGGAACUAGUGAUCCGGCCAUGGCUUGUGGAAGCGUGGUCGCUCAACGGAUAAAAGGUACCCCGGGGAUAACAGGCUGAUCUUGCCCAAGAGUCCAUAUCGACGGCAUGGUUUGGCACCUCGAUGUCGGCUCGUCGCAUCCUGGGGCUGGAGUAGGUCCCAAGGGUUGGGCUGUUCGCCCAUUAAAGCGGUACGCGAGCUGGGUUUAGAACGUCGUGAGACAGUUCGGUCCCUAUCCGCCGCGCGCGUAGGAUACUUGAGGAAGGCUGUCCCUAGUACGAGAGGACCGGGACGGACGGACCGCUGGUGUGCCAGUUGUUCUGCCAAGAGCAUUGCUGGUUGGCUACGUUCGGAAGGGAUAACCGCUGAAGGCAUCUAAGCGGGAAGCUCGUUCCAAGAUGAGGUAUCCCACCCUUUGUGGGUUAAGGCCCCCAGCUAGACCACUGGGUUGAUAGGCCAGAGGUGGAAGACCGGUAACGGUUGGAGCUGACUGGUACUAAUAGGCCGAGGACUUGUUACAAA